GGCAGAAAAGUAUGAAAAAGCAUAAAACACCCAAGAGCAGCUUGGUAUACUCAGCCAUUCAUCAGACCGCGUUAUUCUUACCCAGAAAAUUACAAACAACUUACAAAUGCAGCAACUUGAACCACAAAUUGCAGACUGAGCAGUGACGGCAACAUUUGAAAUCCUCGUAGAGAACAUGAAAAACCCGUGUUUCUGUGCACAGAUAUGAGGUCUGUGUUUUGUUUUGGAAGAAUAUUAGUUUUCCUUUGCAUUCUGCUGGGAUGUGAUUACACUGCCUCCAAAUGAGCGCUGCUCUGGGUGUCUGUCUGGCAUUAGUGAAAAUGGCGCAGAAAGUAGCUGUUUGAUGAUUCCCUUUUUAUUGCACUCACACCACAGACUGAUUUUUACCUUUUAAUGUGUCAUUAAGAGUUUCUGAAUGUACUGCAUCCUGUUAAAUUUGUUCAGUAAGCGAUUUAAAUAAUCUCCUGAUUCCAAUAAGAAGGUAAAUAUGUAUAGGAUUCUUCUCAUGUUUCCCUCAGAAGCUCCAGCUGAGGCUCGGUCUGUUGAGGUCAUUAAGACAGUGGGCCAGAGCAGCCUCCUGAUUGGCUGGGAGAGACCGGCGCUUGAUGAGCUGGGCUGCAGUAACGGCACGUUUGUGUAUGGAUACAGGAUUUUUGUAAAUGGCGACUUCCACAAAUCUGUUAUGAGUUCAGCGUGCACAAAGUGCAUUCUGGAGAACAUUGAUCUGUCUGCUCCAGUCCUCAUCAAAGUCCAAACUCUGGGCUCCAAUGGUCUCCGCUCAGACUGUGUCCACACCACAUACAGGAUGUCCGAACAAGACUGACUGUUUCCUGGUUACAGGUGGAACAGAUAAGCUGCCAAAGUGCCACCAAAGCCACGGUGUCUAGAAUGAGCAACCUGACGUCCACAACAGCUGAGAGACGAAGUCCCGGUGCUAGAAUCACUUCAUGCCAAUCAGGCAGAAAUGCUCCCGUCACUUGGUUUUUUAUAUUUCUGCUCAUGGACACGCAGCAACCUGCCUCUUGACCUCAAAAUGAUUACCUGCAGACAAAACUCAACCUCUGCACUCAAACAUGGUCUGAAUUUUGUUUUGUGUUUUUCACCACUCACAAGAAACUGUUUCAGUCCUCUUCAAUGACAAUGAAUGGAAGCAGCAAGAUGAAGAUACGUGGCACUUUCUGAUGAUUAGGAUAGUCGUAAAACCUGCAAAAAGAAAGUUCUAUUUAAAAAUACUCACUUGUGACCCCCGACAUCUACUGACAAGAAUUACGACGUGAAACGGCCUGCAUCUGCUGCACACCUCCACACUGUGUUCAAACGUAAAGAUUGUCCGUUGUGCUGUUUCAGCAAAGAGCCUCACUGCCGCAUCUCUGGACUUUACAACAGAGUCAAUGAAGGCGUUCCUUGUCUGCAUUGAAAGGUUGCUGCGCUCGAUUUUUACACAUGAAGCCAAAUAUGUGAUGGACGACUCACUCCAAAGACUCUUCUGGUAAAUGCCUAUAGGAUUUUAUGUAAAACACAGAUGUUGGAUUUAUCUUUGUUGUGAGAUUUGCACACAAUCAUAAAGGCUAUAAGAAGAAAUUUUAACAAGAGAGUAACUGAGGUAUUUUUUUUGUACAGAAUCUUUUAAAAAAUGCCAAUAUUUCACACACUGUACGUCUUUAUUAAGUGAACCUUUCAUACCUUCUAGAUGUCAAAUUGCACAUGUCGUUUUUAUUUUGUAUUUCAGAAAUGCACAGCACCUGUUCUAUAACUUUGUUGUUCACUGCAUGCAGGACUUUGAAGUGAUCACGAUGCAGCAGAAGUAUUUUUCUAUCAGUAACUGAUAUUGUUGGUUUCUCAUAGAUUCCCAUUAACUACACAGAAAAUAAAUGUUUAAUUAAUAACAAUGUUGUGCCUGGUUUCAUUUCUGCGUUUUUGUUUCUAAAUGUUUUUUUCUUCCUUGACUUUGAAAAAUGAAAAUGUUCCUCUUAUAAACACCAGAUGGCAGCCAGUUGGGUUGAAAACCGCUGGCUGUUCAAAGAGCA
ensembl:lncRNA